GAUUAUAGGAAUGACACACUUGCCCUCACUGAGAUGAUAGUUUGGUGAUGAGAAUCUUCCUGUUCGUACUUAUC